CUCAUUUUUAGAAGUCAAAUGACCGACAUUGUUCUUGUGGGAAGGAAGAUUAGUGUAGCCCGUUUAACGAUUUGGGUCAUUAACCUGUUAGAUGACCCCGAAUUUCACUCAGCUUAAUGUUCCCAAAAUAUCACAAGGAGUCUGAAGGGCCAUUUUUCUCAGCAAAUCAAAGUCCAAAGAGACUGGAACUUGGCUGUUUUCCUGCCCUGGGAAUGAACGCCAGUUAAGAGAAGACCUGAGCUAGAAAAUAGAGGUAACGCCUCUUUCCCAGCCACGAUGUUUGCAGUCUUUCAGGAACACCUGGUGAUUUGUUGCUGAGAGCAUAACCUAGUUUCAAAGCUGUUCGUGCAGAAGAACCACUUCAGUGUUUUCGAGCAGCGCACUGAUUGGUACCCUGGGUUGUCAACAACGCUCUGUCCCAUUUCAGACCAGGCUUUCACACUGAGAGAUGGAAAUAUGCUGAUGAAGUGUUGUAAUUGGCCACAAUUGUGGGGGCUGCCAAUGUCUUUUCUGGUUUCCGGUUGAUUGUCCACCGGGUUUGGGGAUUCAGCUUCUCCCCGAGAUAGCGUCGGGAUGUGAAAGCGCAGCCUGGGAUCCAGAGCACCCAGGCGUGGACGGUGGGCUGGUCUGGGAGGUUUCAUUUCCAGUAAAUUGCUUUCUGGAGGCAGCAUUUACAUUCUGUCCCCAGUCCUAUGUGUGUUGCAAGGCAAUUCUCGAUGGCAUUUCUAUACUUUUUGGACUAUAUGUUUAAGUAAGUUCGAAGGGCAAACAGAAGCUUGGAAACUAGACCUAAUAGCACUUAGAAAUGUCUCUCUCCCCAGACACAUUCCAGGACAGGAAAUUCCUCCUCUCCCUGGAGAGAUCUGCUUACAUUCUAGAGGAAAGAAGAAUUGGGACAAUAACACAGAUCAGGAAAAGCGAAUAGACAAGGAGAAUCUUAAGGUAACUACUGAUCAAUUUUAACUUUAAAAUUUAUAAGAAUGGUCUGGGUGGAAAGUGUAACUCGUAUGUAUGCCGUUAGAAAUAUGCUUUGCGCAAAAGAAGUGUUCCCCCCAAAAUUGGGUCUAAGCUGAUUUCUGGAAAGGCUUAUCAUGUUUUGAAUGCAUAGAACACCUUUAUACUUAUAGACAUUCUACAUGGAAUCCUCUGUCAAGAGACAGGUGUAUUAGUUGUGUGUUGCUACAUAAAAUUACUCCA
rnacentral:lncRNA from 1 species